CAGAGAAACCAGAUUACACAAGUCACACUCCAGGCACGACUGAAGAGACUGACACAGAGACAGACGUGCCUGAAAAUGAUGAUCUGGACCAUGAAAGCUUCCUGACGGCUGUGCUCAUUGGCCUGUGUGCUCUGAUUCUCCUGGCCGGCGUGGCGGUCUUCCUGCUGAUGACCAGGAAGAGGCACAGGAAAGGUGA